CAUUUAUUUAUUUAUUUGUCAUUUAUUUAUGAGUGUUUCAUUAACUUUGGGCACCUAAUAUCCCAGGGACUUUUGUCUUUUUGUUAUAAUCCUUUAAACAGACUAUCAGUGAGAAACAAGAAGUUAAAUCAGACUUUAUAAACAUUGUAUUUCAAGCUUGUCAAUUCUUUGGAGCCCCUAAAGGGACAUGGUGAAGGAAAAAAAUAUGAUGCGAGGAAAAAAUAAAAAUAAGUCAAUGCUUUUGCAUUCGCCUGCAAACAGCUCAGAAGGUUUUGUGAGCGAACGCAAAAUUUCUCGGGGUAACGCAAAAGUAUUGUUAUUCCUUCCAUCUCAUAUUUGUUUGUCCCAUGUUCCCUUUAGGGGGUCCAUAGACUCCACAUAUGAAUGCUGGGUGAGAGAAAACACAUUGACAAUGAAUUUCAAACCUGCUUCUCCUUGGAAUACCAUGCAAUGAAAUGUUUAUUUUGGGAAUUGUCUUUGAAAUGUCUUUAAGAGUGAGCUGCAGUCUUCAGGAUAAUGAUUUAAAUAGAGAGAGUCACUUUGCAUUGUCACACAUGCUUCAGUGCUCUGAGAGUGUUUAUAGUGCUGUGAGUUUAACACUUCAUGACUGAGAGCAGAACAGAACACAAUCUUCAUCAUCACACAAGACAAAAGAACAACAAUGAACACAAUCACCUUCUUCAUCUGGACUCUGACUGUGUGUAUUCAAGGUUUCAGCGGACAGGUGACUGUGACUCAAACCCCUUCUGUAAAAACGGUUCAGAUUGGUGAAUCAGUCACUAUAAACUGUAAAACAAACACAGCAGUGAGCAAUGCCUGUCCAGGUUCAUAUACUUGUAUGGCCUGGUACCAGCAGAAACCUGGAGAAACUCCUAAACUCCUCAUAUAUUAUGCAACAAGACAUCAUACAGGAACUCCAUCUAGAUUCAGUGGCAGUGGAUCCAGAACUGAUUUCACUCUGACCAUCAGUGGAGUCCAGACUGAAGAUACAGGAGAUUAUUACUGUCAGAGUGCACACUCUAUCAACAGUAAAUAUGUGUUCACACAGUGAUAAAGAGUGGUACAAAAACCUCGGUCAGUCAGACGUCACAGUGAUGCACUGAUACAGCUGAGAGAUACUGCAGCUGCUCAUACAACACAAUCACACACAACACUGAUCACAGACAAACACUAAUAACACUAGAUCAUCUAAAUCAACAUCAAUCUUGUGUUUAUGAAGAGAAUUAGUCAGUGUUUAAUAUGAUCAUCAUGUUUUAGGUGUAAUAUAUGAUCCCUGUCAAUCAAACUGAACAGACUGAAUUCAGUCACUUCUGCUGUCUGGACGUGAUGCUUUCCAUUUGAGCCACAGAAACAUUUACAUUCUUACACAAUUACUGUCAGAACGGCUGAUUCUUGAUCUGUGAUCAUGUUUUUUUUUUUUUUUUUUUUUUUUUUUCAUGACAUUUUCAUAUAUAUUUUCAUCACCACAUUUUCAGCAGAAGUGAAACUGGUGUGUUCCAGUCCAGAUCAUGUGACCAAUCAAACAGUGAGACUGAAAAGCCCAUUUGCAUUGUCAGGGUGGAGUGAUUGUGAUCCUCUCAGAAUAGAGCAGCUCUGUCUCCAGAGACCAUGUUCAAACCCCAAGAGCUUUAUUUGACAUUUACAUCAAGCUUGUGAAAAGCACCUGCAUCUUCAUCUGUUAGUUGAAUGAUGUUGUCAGACACAAAGUGAACUUGUUGAGAAGCUUUAUUGAAUGUUACAGCAGAUUGAAAGAUCACACAGUGCUUUGACACGCCAGCUCUCUUUCAGUAUUGAGUUGUAAAUCACUACAGCUGCAGCACUAGACUCAUGUGAAUCCUGCCUGACACAGGACACUCAGAUACGGCUCAUCUUCAGGAGAGAAACAUCAGCACUCAGAGCUCUUGUGGAACGAGA